GACGAAGGAUGCAAGCGUUAUCCGGAUUCAUUGGGUUUAAAGGGAGCGUAGGUGGCCUUAUAAGUCAGUGGUGAAAUCUCUGGGCUUAACCCAGAAAUUGCCAUUGAUACUGUAGGGCUUGAGUAUAGUUGCCGUUGGCGGAGUAUGACAUGUAGUGGUGAAAUACAUAGAGAUGUCAUAGAACACCGAUUGCGAAGGCAGCUGACGAAACUAUAACUGACACUGAGGCUCGAAAGUGUGGGGAUCAAACAGG
rnacentral:rRNA from 1 species